UUUAGUUUAAUUUACUAUUGUCACGUGCAUCAAGGUACAAUAAAAAGCUUUUGUUUGUGUGAUAUCCAAUCAAAGACUGUCAUGAUUACAAUCAAGCCGUUGACAGUGUACAGAUAAAGGAUAAAGGGUUUCACAUUUAGUGCAAGACAAAGUCCAAUAACGUCCGAUCAAAGAGUUCCAGGGUCUCCAAUGAGAUAGAUGGGAGAUCAGAACCGCACUCUAGCUAAUGAGACGACCAUUCAGUUGUCUGAUUACAGCCCCAGCCUCUGAUUACAGAAACUGUCCCUGAAUCUGGAGGUAUACUUUUUCAAACAUCUGUACCUAUCGCCUGAUGGGAGAGGGGAGAAGAGGUAGUGAGACUCAGCCUAGGUGAGACUCAUCCUUGAUCAUGUAAGUGGCCUUGCCGAAGCAUCGUGAAGUGUAAAUGGAGUCAAUGGAAGAAGGUUGGUUUGCGUGAUGGUCUGGGCUGUGAAAAGAAAAAUAAGUUACGAUGAAUAACAGGGUGAAAGCAGGCUGGGAAAAGAGUGAACCGGUGAAUAAGAGUGUAUACAAGGACUUUAUAUCUGUAGGUCACAUAAACCUGCGCAAAAUGCUACUACAUAAUUUUAGCAUCUUCGAGAAUGUAGAGGGUUAAUUCCAGGCUAUAAAUAAUCUGAUGCUUUGGUGAAUUAAGGAUGCGGACUCAAGUGCUGUACUUUAAAGGCGUGGAAAAGCUCAAACAGCAUUUGGGGAGAUUGUGGAAAUUUGUAAUCUCUCAACAUCAGGGGAUACAGCAUUUAGAUAUUGCAGGAAUCUAUAAUUGUUGUGCACUUGUCCUUACACCAAGGAGAUCCGAAGUAUGCAAAAAGUUUAGAAAUUAUGUAUGCGAUGGGGCCAGUGUUAAAAUGGGUAAAAGAUGGAGAACUGCAGAAUAAGAGCAGGAUAAUGUGGCAAGCUGCUACCCUUUCCAAUUAGGUACAAUUUGUAUAGCCUUAACCAAGAAUCAGUUAAUAUUACAGAUUUAGAUCAUUUAAACCUCAAAAUGACAAGGUAUAAUAUUUAAGUAUCGACUUACGUAAACAGUGAAAACAUUAAACAUUAAUUAUACCCAAGUUAGCAAUAAAAUUCUGGCUUUGUUCAUGGCAAUUAGAGCUCUCAAUAAUUUUGUUUCAUUCCUUUUGAGUUUUAUCUUAUUUGCAAAUGAUUGCUGUUAUUCCUGCAUAGAAUUUAAUGAUAAAGUAGUCUGUUUCUAUUCAACUUCUUCCACCCUUUCAUAUUCUUAAUACAUCUUUCACAUUGAAACAAAACAGUGUAUAGGGCAAUGUGUUGGAAGUCUGAAAAAUACAGACUUCAUACACUUUUAUCAUAUAUACACUUCAUAUCAGGUAGCAUCUUAAUGCAUCUGUACUAUACUUUCUCCUAAACCUCAAAAUCCUUCUUAAAUUGUGCAGAAGCUUAUUGCCCACAGUACCCUGAGGCUUUGCUGAUAAUUUAUGUAUUUUUAAUAUUCUACACCUUGUGUGGUUAUAUUUAAAAGUGCAACACUCUUUGUUUUUUAAGUUUUCAACAUUCAAAUUGCUCUCUUUAAUAUCAAUUAAGUCUUUCUACUGUCGCAAGCACCCAUCUGAAAAUAAUUUCUGGUUUACUUAAAAUAUAAAUGCAUUUAUAAAUACAACUAAAUGGCAUAUUACACUUCCAUCUGCAAUUUCUUAGCAAUUCCAUUAUCUCAGUGAUAUCUACUUACAGCUUCCCCUAGUUUGUAAAUAAUUAACUAUCCCCUUUAUUUUGAUUUUAUCACAAAAUUGGUUGAAUUGGUUGCCUAUGGUUGAAUAUAGUCUAAAGAAGUGAUCAUGUCAGACAUCACAGCUCACUUCAAAUCACAGAAAGAUAUCGGCAGUUUUGUUUCCAGUUAAUUUGUAAUGUGCUCAUCCAUCCUUCACACUAAUUCUUCAUGGUAAACUCCUGUGCGCCAAAAUAAUUUCUUAGAAUGCACGCGUACUUCACCAUCUUUUCAAAGAAUCUCUGAGACGGCCACCAAGUGAUAUUUUUGAAACAUGCAGAUAAAUCUUUUUUUUCUCCAGGUAAAUUCUCCUUGCCACAAACAAUACAUAAGGCAGUGUUUAAGAAGGAACUGCAGAUGCUGGAAAAUCGAAGGUACACAAAAAAGCUAGAGAAACUCAGCGGGUGCGGCAGCAUCUAUGGAGCGAUGGAAAUAGGCAACGUUUCAGGCCGAAACCCUUCUUCAGACGUUAAAGACGUUCAUACAUAAAGCAUAUUGGUUUGUUCUCCAAGUCUGUUUUUAGAAAAAAGUGGCAUCCAGAGACGUGAAUAGGCGAGAGAUACAGUGCUAACACAGGCAAAUGGGACGAGCAUAGAAAGGGAAAAAAAGGCCAACAUGAACACAGUGGGUUGAAGGGCCUGUUUCUGUGAUGUGCAACGCUGUGACUGAACUCGCAUUCAGUGCUGAUAGCUGGAUCUGAAGCAUGUUUGGUCAUCUCUAGACUGAAGGCAACUCCUCUUGGCACACAACAAAAGUUUUUCACUGUACCUCGGUACACGUAACAAUAAACCAAAUUGAACUGAACUGUUUCAUCAGGACUCCAUGAACAUACACAGAUGUGGAAGGCAAUACAACAGAACGAGGGCUAGCCCUCUAUACACAAUCAAAGUGAAACAUUUCUACUGAUGUCUUCUCAUAAAAGCAUAAAUUGUUGGGAAUACUCAAUGCAGCAUGCAUAGAGAAUGAAAUUGAGAUAACAUUUCAGAUUAAUAACCCUUUACUUCAUCAGCACUGAUUGCCAUAUAACCAUUACAGUCAAUGCAAACCAUUUUAAACCAAAGUACAAUGUUAAUUGUUUACUUCAAAUCUCUAUUCCAAUUGUAAAUCUAUCAGGAUUCUAACUAUAUACUUUUUAAUCUUUUACUUGUGUAUGAGUUGAUUGUAUUAAUGCAGUGUAUGAUUUAAUUUGACUGGAAGGCAGCAAACAAAACCUCUUCACUGUAUAUCAAUAGAUAUGACAAUAAAUAAAUCAAUCCAAUAAAUUAACAAACUAACCAUUUAUUGGAACAUUAACAAUUAAUCGUUUUAUCAUCCCUCCAACAGAAGACAGAAGGUGUGAAUAUGAUUAUUUUAUUCAUCUCAUGCUUGCUGGGAAAAUUCUGGCUCGCCAAAAAAAUAAAAGCUGCACAGGUAUGAGAAGUUGGGAAUUCUCAACACAGACAAAACUUGUCUGUUUUAGCUUGAGUAGCAUUACACAUCAGAUGAACUAUUUAUUAACUAUCAUAUCAAUUUGUAAAUACGAUGUUUUCAAAUUCCAAAAUUAUGGGAACUCACAACCACUGAUUCACCACUAAGACAAGGAAAACUACAUGUUCACAAAAAAAACAACCACCAAAUUUAGAAGAUUUCAAUAUCCUUUGACAAAGCCAUUUACUUCUAACCAUUAAUCACGGGGUGCCCAACAGUGAUACAAAAAUUGCAACUUAAUGACUAAAUUGUGAUACCAACCAAAGAUUAUAGAGGCCUUGCAUAUUAGUAUUCUCCACAUUGAUCUCAGUGUUCUCCAUGAGUUCUCCAUGAUGAAAACAUUUGCAAAGUACAUCCUCAGACUCCUCGCACAAAUCUAUCCUUUAUUCUCUGAGGUUAUCCUCUUGGUUUUAAUAUUGGUUUGAAAAGCUUUAGGAUUUUCAUUAAUCUGACGCACCAAAGCUAUUUUGUGGCCCAUUAAUCAUCUGCUUCACUUCUUUUCUUCCCUUUCUUUAUAUUCCUGUCUGUUUCCAACCCCUUUAACCUACAAGUGCUCCCUUUUUCUUUUAGACUAUUAAAUCCUCUUUGGUCAUCCAAGGUUUCCUUACUUUGCCAUCCUUAUUCUUCCUCCCUAAUGGAAAUUCCGAUCCUGAACACCCAUCAGCCGGCCAUUAAACAACUUCCACAUGUCAGAUACGGACAUACCCAAUAACAAUUGCUCCCAGUUUACCCUCCCGAGCUCCUACCUCAUAACAUUGUAAUUUGGUUACUCCAAUUUAGCACCUUCCCACAAGAUUCAGUCUUCUCCUUAUCAAAGCAAUCUUAAAUCUUCGCGAGUGGAAACACGGAACUGCAGAUGCUGGUUUACACAAAAGAACACAACAUGCAGGUGUAAUUCAGUGGGUCAGGCUUUAUCUCUGGAGAACACGGAUACUAUACUCCAUGUACACUCAUGAUUGUGCAGCCAAAUACCAACCCAACUCAAUUAACAAGCUCACAGACGAUACCACCAUAGUUGGCAGGAUAUGAAAUAAUGAUGAGAUGGAGUAUAGGAAAAAUAUUAGGUACAUCGUAACCUGAUGCAGCUGGGUGCUCAGGAUUAUUCGAGGAUAUGACAGUGACAUAGAUAAGAGUUACAGUGAGGUGGUCAUUCCUAAGGUACAAGCAGGAAGUAGAUGGGUGACCACCAGGAAAAGGAUUAGGCAGAAAGUGCAGGAAUCCCCAAGAGCCAUUCCCCUCAACGACCUCCCUAGAUGUCAGCAAGAAAAAGGAGAAUGUGACUGACUUCAGGAAGCGAAGCAAUACACACACCCCAGAAUGUAUUGAUGGAGCCAAAGUAGAGAUGGUCGAUAUCUUCAAGUUCUUAGGAAUAAAUAUCACCAGCAAUUUGUCCGGGACCAGCCACAUUGAAGCUGUGGCCAAGAAAACACACAAACGCCUCUACUCCUUGAGAAGACUUAGGAAGUGUGGCAUGUUCCCAACAACCCUCGCCAACAUCUACAGAUGCGCCAUAGAAAGCAUUUUAUUGGGAUGCACCACUGUCUGGUAUAGGAUCUGCUCCAUCCAAGACCGCAAGAAAUUGCAGAGAGUUGUGGAUGUAGCCCAGAUUAGCAGGCAAACCAACCUUCUUUCUGUUGACUCUAUCUACACUUCACGCUGCCUCGGCAAGGCCACCAGCCUUGGACCGGUCUUACCCCGGUCACUCGCUCUUCCCCCCUCUCCUGUUAGGCAAGAGUUACAAAGGUUCGGAAAUGCAAAUCUCGAGAUUCAGGGACAGUUUCUUCCCAGCUGGUAUCAGGCAACUGAAGCCUGUCACCAGCUAGAGUGCGGUCAUGACCUCCCAUCUACCUCAUUGGAGACCUUGAACUAUCUUUAAUUGGACUUUAUCAGCCAUUAUCUUGCAUUAAAUUUUGUAUCCUUUAUCUGUACACUGUGAACGGCCUGAUUGCAAUCAUGUAUACAGAUGCUCCCCAAUUUACGAUGCUUUGACACGAUAUUUCGACUUGUGGUGCAAACGCUCGGCAACGGCGACGAGUCGCAGCUCACUUCCGGUCACGUGAUCAAAUUGUAUUAAAUGCGUU